rnacentral:lncRNA from 1 species
AGACUACUGACUUGGACCAGCAGGGGAAUGGCUGUGACAAUAAAUAAGAUUGGGAAAACAAGAAGACGCCCUUGCAUACAUUAAGAUAUGUAUAUAUGGAAAUGUUACCGGGAGUCCCGGUUAUCCCAAAAAGGGUUGUUUCCUGUUGCGUGGUGAGGCCAAUGCACGAAACCGAAAGGGAGUGUGUCAAGCAGUGCAGGCUGUAUUCAAUGGCUAUGGAAUUGGAAGAUCUGAAAUCAACUUAGCUUGUGAGAGCUGGGAAGUUUCAGAGUCGUUGUCAUGGCGACAUGUUGUUUAGCAUGAGAACAGGAUGAUGAUAAAGCCAGAGGCUCUUCAGAGGCGCCAUCUUGGAUUUCGCCAGCUUCAGCUGGUUUCGUCCUAAGAAGGAACUUCGAAACACAGGCAUUCUUUUUCCUGAAAAUAAGCAGAGUUACAGCUGAGUAGGAAUUUAGCUCUGUCCCAUAUGCUAUCGCAUUGGGCAGCAAAAGCAGGGUGGGGUCCAGCGAAAUCAGCAGGCACUGCAAUGAGUAACAUACCCAGCCACGUUUAUGCAGCAUUUUUACGAAAAUGAAACCAUACUACCUGUAAAGGAAGAUAUGCUAACAAACAACAAAACUGGCAGGAACCAAGAUUCCUACUGACACUACCCUUAGUUUUAAUUUUCCCUGACAACAAAUGAGGUUAACAGAGCAUAAUUAUCUACCGUGACCCCUUCAAAAAGACAGGCUGUAUACAUUUGCACUAAGAGAAGAAAUCGUGUAAUGUCAGCAAAUUUCCCCCACUUAAAGCUUCUCUAUUUAAAAAGCUUCACGCACACAUGCACGCAUAUGUCUUCAAGAUGACCACAAUUUAUUUUGCAGUCAUUCUUUGCACCAGUUCCCAAUUUUUCCCACUAGCUUGCAAGCUCCGUGACUCGAGGAGACCGGGGGAUCAGAGUUUGUUUUUGCGGAGAAGUGAGUCCUUUAUGCCCCAAAUAGUGACUGACAUAGAGAAGGUACUCAGUAAACACUUUUUAAAGGAAUGCCUGCCUGACUGAAGCUUAAUGAUGUGAGGCUUCUAGUGGGAUACCCUACCUUGUUUUAACCUGAAGUGACUCUUCCUUAGCUAAGAGAGCCAGACGGACUCCAUCGUGACUCCUUCACUCGCAGCCCCUUACCCACCCCCUUCCUCAAGGACUUAACUUGUGCAAGCUGACUCCCAGCACAUCAAGAAUGCAAUUAACUGAUAAGAUACUGUGGCAAGCUAUAUCCGCAGUUCCCAGGAAUUCGCCCGGUUAAUAGCACCCAGAGCCCCUGCGUUUGUGUCCGGUUGAUAACGCCCAAAGCCCGGCGUCCAUCACCUUAGGAUAGACUUAAAGCCUCUGCACCUGGAACUGUUUACUUUCCUGUAACCGUUUAUCCUUUUAACUUUUUGCCUACUUUACUUCUGUAAGAUUGUUUCAACUAGACUCCCCCUCUCCCCUGUCUAAACCAAAGUAUAAAAGAAAAUCUAGCUCCUUCUUCGGGGCCAAGAGAAUUUCGAGCGCUAGCUGUCUCUCGGCUGCCGGCUAAUAAAGGACUCCUGAAUUCGUCUCAAAAAAAAAAAAAAAAAA